rnacentral:lncRNA from 1 species
UAGCCUGAAAAACGAGAGAGACCAGAAUAUAGGUGUGUGCCCAUGGUAUGUCAUCUGAAAGGACUGGGUAAGCACGUGGGACGGAUGCUGAGCUGGGAAUUCAUAGAGGGUGUCCAGACUCCAGAGCCAAGAAGUGAGCUGGGCUCCCACCCCAUUCUGAAGUUGCCAAAGAGUGAACUUGACCUGUAUUCUGCUGUAUUACAACGUCCCCCCAUGGAAUCUCUCAUACAUCAUAGAGCUUCCCUCCACCCUUCAGCCUUUUUAGUGCCUCCAACUAGAACAUCUGCAGCAGGGAAGAGGCCAGGAUGGGGUUCUUCACCAGUUCAUUAG